UUUUUUUUUUUUUUUUUUGAGACAGGGUUUCUCUGUAUAGCCCUGGCUGUCCUGGAACUCACUUUGUAGACCAGGCUGGCCUUGAACUCAGAAAUCCGCCUGCCUCUGCCUCCCAAGUGCUGGGAUUAAAGGCGUGCACCACCACCUCCCGGCUAGAUGUUUAAUCUUAACUGUUAUACAUAUACUUGAUAAAUACAAGCCUUUCUGAAUCCUGAACUUUCGUGUUACCUCGUCUUUUCUGUGCUGGGGUAUAGGGGUUGGGAGAUUUCCUUUUUAUCCAUCUUUUCCUAAAAUUUCAGUUAUGCUUAAUGAGUUUGUAGUUCUAUGUCCUGAUAAAGAGAAAACCACGCAUGACCUUUGUUAAUGUGGACAAAUGUUAAUUGAAGGAAGCCAUGAAAAUAGAAGCAGGGACCAUUCCUGUUGGGGUCUCACUAUGGAAUAGAGGGAUUGGGCUUCACCACAGCUUAGUAAGGCUGAGUGGGGCAUGACCUAAGGAUCGGCACAUGGGAGGUAACUAAGAAGAAACCAGGCAUAAGGAGAUUUCCAACUAACCCAGCUUGACAGGAUUAUUGCUAAUGGCAAUGAUGAGAUACAAGGGGUCCACCAUCAACAGCAAAGCAUUUCUUCUCACCUGUCUUGUUCACAUUAGCUUCCACCAGGACUCAGGAAAACUCAGAGUCAGGCCAAGUCAGCAUAGCAGAGAGGUGUCCUCCUCCAUCUUCUUAAGGUCCCUGGCUAGGUUGGAAAAUAGAAUUGACAAAGACAGAAUUAAUGUUUUUAUGAGGCAGUGGAGGCUUCUGAAAUAAAGAUCCAGCCUACUGAGAAACUACCUGUUUUCAUGCUGUUUGGUGGAGUCGUCGUGGGGAAGUGUAACUGGAGAGAAGACGUGAGCUAGGGCGUCCGCCUAGGGAGUUCUGCUCAGCGUCUGUUCAGACUUUCCAUCAGAAGUGAGGCUACCUUUACCUGAGUAUAAAGCUGGUGUCCUCAGGAAAGGCAGAGCAUUCCUAGGUUUGGAAACGAGUUAAGGGGAGAAGGCAUGGGGGUGGGGGGUCAGAGAAAGCUCCCUGCUUCUUCUCUUCUCCCUCAUGCCCUCUGCUUUACCUACUCAGGAUGCUGGAGGUAGCUCAGUGAUGAGAGCACCCGCUGCUCUUGCAGCAGACCCCGGUUAGGUUCCCAGCACCCACAAAAUAGCUCACCCACCUGCACAUCAAGUUCUAGGGGAUCCUACUCUUUGUUUUGAAUGCUGUAGGCACUAGUACAAUUUCU
rnacentral:lncRNA from 1 species